CCUCCUUCCUGAGGAUUGUGUUCUCAGCAUUCAUCUCUCACCCUCACCAUGGAACCGUACUCUGAUGAGCAUCUAAGAAACACAGAAACUCAGAAAUGAAACCAUGUGGCUCUGGCACUGCUGACAUAGAAUCACUGAUAUUUCAAAUAUCAGACUUCUCAAAAAGAAAAGUUUGCCUUUUGGAUAGAGCAUGGGAAAAUCUGAACUAAACAAACAGGGUACAAUGAGGAGUCAGGAGUCUGCAACAUGGAAGAGAGCUCUCACCAGAAUCCGAUCAUGCUGGCACCCUAAUUUCAAAAAGAUAAGAACACAGACAGCAGAGAGGAAAGACCA
rnacentral:lncRNA from 10 species